CCUACGGGAGGCAGCAGUAGGGAAUAUUGCUCAAUGGGGGAAACCCUGAAGCAGCAACGCCGCGUGGAGGAUGAAGGUUUUCGGAUUGUAAACCCUUUUUUUUCAGGAAGAUAAGACCGGUAUCCAACGAAUAAGCACCGGCUAACUCCGUGCCAGCAGCCGCGGUAAUACGGCGGGUGCAACCGUUAUUCGGAAUCACUGGGCGUAAAGGGCGUGUAGGCGGGUUAGCAAGUCAGAUGUGAAAUCCUAGGGCUUAACCAUAGAACUGCAUUUGAAACUGUUAUUCUAGAGUAUGGGAGAGGUAGGUGGAAUGCUUGGUGUAGGGGUAAAAUCCGUAGAGAUCAAGAGGAAUACUCAUUGCGAAGGCGACCUGCUAGAACAUAACUGACGCUGAUGCGCGAAAGCGUGGGGAGCAAACAGGAUUAGAUACCCCUGUAGUC
rnacentral:rRNA from 1 species